CAAAAACAUUGCUUCUUGAAACAAAAUAAGAAGUAAUUCCUGCCCAGUGAUUCAACGGCCGCGGUAUCCUAACCGUGCAAAGGUAGCAUAAUCACUUGCCCAUUAAUUGUGGGCUAGAAUGAACGGAUUAACGAAAUAAAUACUGUCUCCAUAAGCUUAAUAAAAAUUAAUCUCUAACUGAAGAGUGUUAGAUUCUGUCGAAGGACAAGAAGACCCUAUAGAGCUUUAUUUUAACAUAAAUUAUUUAUGCCAAAAUUCGGUUGGGGCGACCAGGGAAGUUAUUAAUCAUCCCUCACAUAAGAUUUAUUAAUCAUCUACAUGACCCUUAAUAAAGAGCAUAAAAAUAAGCUACCUUAGGGAUAACAGGCUAAUUUUCUUAAAGAGUCCUUAUCAAUAAGAAAGUUUGGCACCUCGAUGUUGGCUUAGGGAAUCUAUGUGGUGCAAAAGUCACAUAAAGAUGGUUUGUUCAACCAAUAACACCCUACAUGAUCU
rnacentral:rRNA from 1 species